UAACCCUAUGAAUUUAAGAGGAAAAAGAAAAUAUAAAUUAUAGAUGUACAUGCCAACUAAAUAGUAAACAAGUGAAAAAUAAAAUUAUCCUAUAAAUAAAAAGAAAAAUAACAAUAGUAUCACAAUUAAUUUGCAUGAAAACUAUCAAUUAGAUCACAUUUUAAAAGGCAACACUUAAUAUUGUGCAAUAUGUAAAAACAUGACACAGCAUCAAUUAAAUAAAAAAAGGACAAGCAAAGAAUGUGCCAGCAGCCGCGGCUAAACAUUCUGUACUAAUUUUCAAAUUUAAACAUGUAAGAAAGAAUAAUAAACAAAUAAUAGAAGACUGAACAACAACUAAAAAUAAAAUAGUAAAAUAUAAAAAUAAUAACUCAACCCCACCACCCUCUAAAACAAUAAAAUUCUAAUACACCAAAGCAUAGAGAACAAAAAGGAUUAGAUACCCUUGUAGCCCAUGCCAUAAAAAAUAUAUGAAAAAAGUAUGCUCGCAAGACAGAAACUUAAUAAAUUUGAGAGAGAGAAAAAAUUCGAGGAAGCGUAUACUUUAAUUCGAAAUUACACGAAAACCUUACCUAAAAAUAACAAGUAGGAUAUCACCACAUAUUACUUUUAUAAAAACAAUAAAAUCACUACAUAAGCCACACAUCGGUCAUCACCCUCUUCAUAUUUAGGGCUAGUAAGCACUACAAACUAUUAACUUAAAUAAUAGUACCAACACCAUGAAAACAUACAAGGAGCACCCGAAAGUAAUUAUUUCUAAUAAAAAAAUAAUGAAACUAUACAAAAAACUGCUACAUACCGCCCGUCAAUUCUCAAGAACACACACAGCCUAUGCUAAAAAAAUAAACAUAAACAAUUUACCAUUAACCCCCCUAAACAAAAAACAAUUAAGAAUAAGUCGUAACAAGGUAGCCGUAUCUGAAGAUGCGGCUAAAAAUAA
rnacentral:rRNA from 1 species